AGUUGGUUUAUGGCCUGGUUCACAACCUGUGGAUAUGCGCAACACACACGUCGACAUUGAUUUGAUGCGUGGUUGAUAAUUUCUGUUGAUUGUUUCAUGGGCAAUGUAUAUAUUCCGCUGUUUUCAGCACCACUUAAUCUCAUCUCCUGAAGUCCAGUGAUGAGGAUUGAAGUCGGCUGAUUCUGGGCGUGAAUUUCUCACUUCAUUUAACCUUGACAGACUAUGGGUUGUACUCAUUUUGCAGCUUAAUGACAAUUAGUUUGGAAUUUUAGUGCCUGUGAAUUUAACUCAUCAAUUUUUCAGAG
rnacentral:misc_RNA from 1 species